AUCCGGCUGACGAGUCCCAAAUAGGUCGAAACGUAUGUCCUAGAU
rnacentral:hammerhead_ribozyme from 1 species